UAGACGUGUGUGUGUGUGUGUGUGUGUGUGUGUGUGUAAGUGAGUACGCGCGCACACACACACACACACACAUACACACACCAUUUCUAUU
rnacentral:miRNA from 1 species